GACAGAGGUGCCAAGCGUUAGGCGGAAUCACGGGGCUUAAAGCGUGUGUAGGCGGAGUUCUAAGUACCUUGUGAAAUCCCACGGCUCAACCGUGGAACUGCUUGGUAUACUGGUUCUCUUGGGCCACUUAGGGGCUACCGGAACAAACGGUGGAGCGGUGAAAUGCGUAGAUAUCGUUUGGAACGCCAAUGGUGAAAACAGGUAGCUGGGAGUGUGCCGACGCUGAGACACGAAAGCCAGGGGAGCGAACGGG
rnacentral:rRNA from 1 species